UAUUAGAGUAACAUUCGCCAUAACAGUGCAACGCCUUUACGCGCAUUGAAACUGAAGAAGCCAUAUUUAAACAACUCGCUUUUACUUUUCCCGAGGCAGCUUCGAUAUAACCGCCGGUGUCUCCUAUCCUCACAGAAUAGACGCUAUGACGUAGACGUAACGCUACGUACUUUUAGAAGCAUUAAAUGCUCGCUGCGGUCGGAGCGCAUAUCCACGCUAUUCGCCAGAACGUGUGUUUGCUGUUCCAUGAACCCAUUGCACUAUUAGUAUGACAUAGUUGCACAUUUAUGAACUUAGUUGUACUAUUUUACCGGACGUUGCACUAUUACAUGACUUGCGCGGCACUUUCUUUUCCUGCUUUCUGAUAUCAUUGAACUAUUAUGUCGACCACAUUGCACCAUUGCAAUCAUCGUUGUGGUCUUUCACCCUACAUUGCACUAAUAAUCGCCGUGCGCGUCGCACCCUUAAUCCCCUCGCAUUUGAAUGCUAGUGGAAGGCACGAUAAGUGACGUGUAAGGUAUAUUCGGUAAGUGAGGAAGAGAUGUACUGGCGGGUUUGUCAGCCCACGAUUCGUUUUUUUAAAUAUCGGUUCUUCAGAUGCAUCUCCCUUUACGGAAACACAACCUUUGGUGAAGGACGUGAAUCGACAACGGCGUUCCCUGCAAGAGGAAACGCAGCGCCGAAGUACGAGAUGGAGCCUCCUCCUACACUGCCGCGGCUCUUCCUCCUGCCGGGAACGCCGUUCCUCGCCUUCGCAUCCUUGACCAAUAGUUACUAGGCUACAGUUCAUCCAUGACGUUAAGGCAACGACGGUAGAUGGCUGAAGCAGAGUUCGCGGAGUAGGCGGCUCGCUGCGAAGGGAGCCGAAGCAGAGUUCGUGGAGUAGGCGGCUCGCUCCGAAGGGUACCAUCCAGCAAUGAGGCGUUAAGAUUGAUUCGUGCUAUCUGGACUGCGUUAUUUGCCACGAGCCCAUUGGCCCUCCUCUCAUACAGAGCGGAGCUCCAAAGGGCUUGAGGCAAAUAAAGCACUCCAGAUAGUGCAAAUCAAUCUUAAGGCCUCGUUGCUGGAUCUACACUUCCGAACGACCCUCCUCCUACUCGCAGUCUCCUUCGGCAGUCUCCUUCUCGCAGUCUCCUCCUCGCAGUCUUCUCCUCGCAGUCUUCUACUUGCAAUCUCCUCCUCGCAGUCUCCUGCGGAAGUCUCCCCUGGCCUAUACAUGUUAUCUUAGGCUAUGUGCGCGUGGAAUUGCAGACAAGCUUCGAUGAUUAGAUAUUUCUGUAACAUAAUUUUUAUUAUGUUCAAUUUGUUAUUGUUGAAGUAAUAGAAUUUUUCAUUGUAGGCAAAUCCUUUUUGUAUUGUGUAAACUUGUAUAAAAUCGUGUACUCGGAUUUAAAGAAGAAAAUAUAAUUCUUGUUCACAAAUUAA